GGCUUACUUGGGUCCACGUUUCAACAAUCAUCGAGCAUCCAGAGCCAUGGCUGGGCUGUGAGGAGCUGCGAGCAUCCCUCCCUUCCCCUCCCCUCCCUUCGUGUGGUGUUUUGUCUAGGUUUGCUUGUAAGAUGGAAGCUGGUCAUACCAGCAAGUGAGGUCAAGCCUGAAACACACUCAUGGUGUGGGUCCUGUCUACAGCUUUCCAGGAAGGCAGCAAGAGAGAGGAAAGCUCGAUGCAGACGUGCAUGCCCUUCACAUGCUGCUGAUGGCAUAAUUUACCCGGCAGCUGUCACAGCUGUUGCCCCUUAGCCCCAAAUACCUGGGCUGGCAACGUCUGUGUGGGGGGAGCUGGGGCCAGAGCUUUGGGGCAGCUGCGUUCAGACGCAGCUCAGGCUCUGGGCUGGGAAAGCUGCGCCUUUGCUCCGUGCUCAGCGCGCUGGGGUUACGGCUCUGCAGGGAAGAACAAGCUCCCAGGGCAAAGCUGCCGCGUGGUUUGUGCUGCCCAACCUUUGGAGUCCCAGGGGACUCCUUGGAGAGGCCGCAUGCAGGAAACCUCCUAUUAGUUAUUACGUGGUUACCAUUUGGUUAGUAUUUGCUAUUAACCUAUUAGCCCCUUUACCCUAUUCCUGAUGGAUUCCUGGAAGACUCUGGCAGCUUGUACACGUGAGCAUUUAAUCUCUUCUCCUGCCCUAACAGCUUUUGAGAUGGUUGGAGAGCACGAGCUGCUCAAAUACCGUGAGCAGAAAAAUCAGCCACACGUAACAUUUCC
rnacentral:lncRNA from 1 species